rnacentral:tRNA from 1 species
GGGCCCAUAGCUCAGUUGGUUAGAGCACCGCCUUGAUAAGGCGGGGGUCGUUGGUUCGAGUCCAACUGGGCCCACCA